ACCGGCGCACGGGUGCGUAACGCGUAUGCAACCUACCUAUCAGUCUGGAAUAACCCGGCGAAAGUCGGACUAAUACCGGAUAAUGCAGGGAUCCCGCAUGGGAAUAUUUGCUAAAGAUUUAUUGCUGAUAGAUGGGCAUGCGUUCCAUUAGGUAGUUGGUUGAGGUAACGGCUCACCAAGCCUUCGAUGGAUCGGGGUUCUGAGAGGAAGGUCCCCCACACUGGUACUGAGACACGGACCAG
rnacentral:rRNA from 1 species